rnacentral:rRNA from 1 species
AACAUACCCUUUGGUACGGAAUAGCCUCGGGAAACUGGGAGUAAUACCGUAUGUGUCCUUUCACUGUAGAGGUGAUUGGAGAAAGAUUUAUCGCCAAAGGAUUGGCCCGCGUUGGAUUAGGUAGUUGGUGGGGUAAUGGCCUACCAAGCCGACGAUCCAUAGCUGGUUUGAGAGGAUGAUCAGCCACACUGGGACUGAGACACGGCCCAGACUCCUACGGGAGGCAGCAGUGGGGAAUCUUAGACAAUGGGCGCAAGCCUGAUCUAGCCAUGCCGCGUGAUC